rnacentral:rRNA from 1 species
UACGUAGGGGGCAAGCGUUGUCCGGAAUCAUUGGGCGUAAAGCGCGUGUAGGCGGCCAGAAAAGUCCGCUGUGAAAACUCGAGGCUCAACUUCGAGCUGUCGGUGGAAACUUUCUGGCUAGAGUCCGGAAGAGGAGAAUGGAAUUCCUGGUGUAGCGGUGAAAUGCGCAGAUAUCAGGAAGAACACCCGUGGCGAAGGCGGUUCUCUGGGACGGUACUGACGCUGAGGCGCGAAAGCGUGGGUAGCAAACAGG